ACUCCUACGGGAGGCAGCAGUGGGGAAUAUUGCACAAUGGGCGCAAGCCUGAUGCAGCAAUGCCGCGUGUGUGAAGAAGGGCCUGCAGGGUUGUAAAGCACUUUUUAUCGGGAAAGAAAACCCAAGAUUAAUACUCUUGGCAUUGACGGUACCCGAGGAAUAAUGCACCGGCUAACUCCGUGCCAGCAGCCGCGGUAAUACGGAGGGUGCAAGCGUUAAUC
rnacentral:rRNA from 1 species